UACGAAGGGGACUAGCGUUGUUCGGAAUCACUGGGCGUAAAGCGCACGUAGGCGGAUUUAUAAGUCAGGGGUGAAAUCCCGGGGCUCAACCUCGGAACUGCCUUUGAUACUGUGAAUCUUGAGUCCGAUAGAGGUGGGUGGAAUUCCUAGUGUAGAGGUGAAAUUCGUAGAUAUUAGGAAGAACACCGGUGGCGAAGGCGGCCCACUGGAUCGGUACUGACGCUGAGGUGCGAAAGCGUGGGGAGCAAACAGG
rnacentral:rRNA from 1 species